CGGGGCUGAGGGGACAUCGGGGCGGCUCGGGGCGCGGGGGUCACAGGUGUGACUGACAGGAAGCCUAUGAGCGAGUGAGAAGCCAGAGCGCCCACCAUCCAGUGCCCAGCACUCACACCUCCAGGACUCAUGCCAAGGAGGCUGGCGGGAGAGUGGAGGAAGCCUCGGGAGAAUCAGAAGAAGAAACACCUCUUCAGAAUCAAGGCUGCCACCACGUUCGCGUGGGAAGUCCUGCCGUCUUCUCGAGGGUGCAGUGACUUCCCUGGAUCCUGGGCCCCCCUCCCACUGCCCGGCCUCCUCCCAUGCAGUUAAACGUGCUAAAAGGUG